rnacentral:tmRNA from 1 species
UAUCUUGACAUCAUAAAAAUUUUCUUGUAAAAUUCAAGCGUGGUUUUUUUUAUCCACUAUGGCAAUAAAAACUUCUUAGAAUAAAUGUAUUGGACCCGAGGGCAGUGCUCGGCAUCUCCACAUUUUUUAAGGGGAUGAAACAGGAUUGACAUGCAUAGUAAAGGGGAAUGUUGUUGCUCGGUGAGAAUACAGCCGUAAAUGUUCAAAAUUAUAAGUGCAAACGACAAUAUCGUUGCUGCUAAUGAUAACUAUAGCUACGCUAAUUUAGCAGCUGCUUAGUAAUCUUUUAGCGCGGUUUUUACGAAGGUUAACCGGGCAACAGAAAAACUUUCGU